ACGUCCAUACCAUGCUGAAUACACCGGUUGUCGUCCGAUCACCGAAGUUAAGCAGCGUUGGGCGCGGUCAGUACUUGAAUGAGUGACGCCUAGGAACAUAGCGU